rnacentral:sRNA from 1 species
UGUGUUUGUUACCUUUUUAAUGAUCAAGUAAUGAACUUGAGUUUUACUGCAAUCACAUUUGGUUCAUGUUUUUGAUUUUUUGUUUUGUUGAUAUUGUUUGUAUUGUUGUUUUUUUAUUUAAAUAGGAAGGAAAAUAGAAUCCCUUCAUUCCAAAUUGCCAAAUUGUCGUACAGGUACAGAGAGGCUCCAUGAAGUGUGCAUUUUUAAUUUACAAUUGAAUUCUAUUUUUUUUUAGUAUUUCUCUCUAAAAGGGGAACAGGAUGGUCCCUAUGCCCCCCCCCCCCCCAUAACUCAAAUAAUGGAUAUGUUGAUGAUUUGUUGGUUUUAUUUAAUCUAGAUACCAAUGGAUGGAAUCAUGUACUAGCUUUAUUUAUAAAAGAACUCAAGUUUUCAUCUCUCGUAUCUCAGAUUGUACAGUUCACAGAACUGUUUCCUAUAAUGGCAUCAUCAUUGGAAGAGGUCAAAGGUUAAAAUGUAUACAGUCAUUUGAUUGUGUUGAAUUUUAAAGUAAGGAUAAUUUUAAUUUGAGGCAUACAACCACUCCCCCCCCCCCCCCCACAUACACACACAAUGGAUCUACAUGAUAUUAGAUACAUGUGUAUUCAGGGAAAUGUUAUAACUUUAAACUUUAUUGGCCAUGUGUAUUUCAAUAUUUUAUUAUGAUAUUGGGGCUUGCCACAUUUCUUGUGGCUUUGUUACUAUGCAAUAAAACAUUACGAAGUGGUUUUAUCAUAAUAUUUCAUGCAUUUUACAUUACAAUUGAUCAUAUCUUCUUCCAUAAAACUUUUUUUUAAUUA